GGGCCUGUAGCUCAAUGUGGAGGAGCGUCCGCCUUGCAAGCGGAAGGUUGCCGGUUCGAGCCCGGCCUGGUCCAC
rnacentral:tRNA from 1 species